rnacentral:ncRNA from 1 species
AAAUCCGGGGUGCUUGUGAAAACAGGCUGAGAUCAUACCCGUUAAACCUGAACGGAUAAUGCCGGCGAAGGGAGUAUAAUA